GACGACGCUGGCGGCGUGCCUAAUACAUGCAAGUAGGACGAGUUGCGAACGGGUGAGUAACGCGUGGUCACCUGCCUAUUAGAGGGGGAUAACUAUUGGAAACGAUAGCUAAUACCGCAUACUAUCGGAUGAACCCAUAUGGGAUUAGCUAGUAGGUGGGGUAAAGGCUCACCUAGGCGACGAUCUCUAGCUGGUCUGAGCGGAUGAUCAGCCACACGUGGACGGAGACACGGCCCAGACUCCUACGGGAGGCAGCAGAGGCGAAUAUUGCACGAUGGGCGCAAGCAUGAUGCAGCCAGGGCGCGUGUAUGAAGAAGGCCUGAGGGUUGUAAAGUACUUGCAGCGGGGAUGCGUUACCCGCAGAAGAAGCACCGGCUAACUCCGUGCCAGCAGCCGCGGUAAUAC
rnacentral:rRNA from 1 species